GAGUUUGAUCGUGGCUCAGAGCGAACGCUGGCGGCAGGCCUAAUACAUGCAAGUCGAACGGCUCUUCGGAGCAGUGGCGGACGGGUGAGUAACGCGUGGGAACGUGCCCUUUGGUUCGGAACAACACAGGGAAACUUGUGCUAAUACCGAAUGUGCCCUUCGGGGGAAAGAUUUAUCGCCAUUGGAGCGGCCCGCGUUGGAUUAGCUAGUUGGUUGGGUAAAGGCCCACCAAGGCGACGAUCCAUAGCUGGUCUGAGAGGAUGAUCAGCCACACUGGGACUGAGACACGGCCCAGACUCCUACGGGAGGCAGCAGUAGGGAAUCUUGCGCAAUGGGCGAAAGCCUGACGCAGCCAUGCCGCGUGAAUGAUGAAGGUCUUAGGAUUGUAAAAUUCUUUUACCGGGAAGAUAAUGACGGUACCGGAGAAGAAGCCCCGGCUAACUUCGUGCCAGCCGCCGCAGUAAC
rnacentral:rRNA from 2 species